CCCCGUACACAAAAAUGCACAUACUGUGAGCUCGAUGAGUAGGGCGGGACACGUGGUAUCCUGUCUGAAUAUGGGGGGACCAUCCUCCAAGGCUAAAUACUCCUGACUGACCGAUAGUGAACCAGUACCGUGAGGGAAAGGCGAAAAGAACCCCGGCGAGGGGAGUGAAAAAGAACCUGAAACCGUGUACGUACAAGCAGUGGGAGCACGCUUAGGCGUGUGACUGCGUACCUUUUGUAUAAUGGGUCAGCGACUUAUAUUCUGUAGCAAGGUUAACCGAAUAGGGGAGCCGAAGGGAAACCGAGUCUUAACUGGGCGUUAAGUUGCAGGGUAUAGACCCGAAACCCGGUGAUCUAGCCAUGGGCAGGUUGAAGGUUGGGUAACACUAACUGGAGGACCGAACCGACUAAUGUUGAAAAAUUAGCGGAUGACUUGUGGCUGGGGGUGAAAGGCCAAUCAAACCGGGAGAUAGCUGGUUCUCCCCGAAAGCUAUUUAGGUAGCGCCUCGUGAAUUCAUCUCCGGGGGUAGAGCACUGUUUCGGCAAGGGGGUCAUCCCGACUUACCAACCCGAUGCAAACUGCGAAUACCGGAGAAUGUUAUCACGGGAGACACACGGCGGGUGCUAACGUCCGUCGUGAAGAGGGAAACAACCCAGACCGCCAGCUAAGGUCCCAAAGUCAUGGUUAAGUGGGAAACGAUGUGGGAAGGCCCAGACAGCCAGGAUGUUGGCUUAGAAGCAGCCAUCAUUUAAAGAAAGCGUAAUAGCUCACUGGUCGAGUCGGCCUGCGCGGAAGAUGUAACGGGGCUAAACCAUG
rnacentral:rRNA from 1 species